CUCGUUCCAUUUUUGAUGCUGAUGAUCCCAUUGUUUCAGUCCGAAAGCUUUUCAUGUCUCCAUCUGCAAAGAGAGUGAAGACUUCUAAUGAAUCAUGCUAAGGUUUUUGAGAAACAGUGAUAGGGUUUGCAGGGUGAGAUGAUGAAC